rnacentral:rRNA from 1 species
GACGAACGCUGGCGGCGUGCUUAACACAUGCAAGUCGAACGGAGUGGCGAACGGGUGAGUAACACGUGGGUGAUCUGCCUUGCACUUCGGGAUAAGAUUGGGAAACUGGGUCUAAUACCGGAUAGUGCAAGAUGAGCUCGCGGCCUAUCAGCUUGUUGGUGGGUGAAUGGACUACCAAGGCGUCGACGGGUUGCCGGCCUGCGAGGGUGUACGGCCACAUUGGGCCUGGGAUGCUGCCUAGACUCCGACGGGAGGCAGGAGGGGGGAAUUUUGCACACUGGGCGGAAGCCGGAAGCAGCGACGCCGGGUGGGGGAUGAAGGCCUUCAGGUUGUAAACUCCUGUCGACAGGGACGCGGUACCUGUAUAGGAAGCACCGGCUAACUACGUGCCAGCAGCCGCGGUAAUAC